GCUAGUAAUCGCGGAUCAGCAAGCCGCGGUGAAUACGUUCCCGGGCCUUGUACACACCGCCCGUCACACCAUGAGAGUCGGGAACACCCGAAGUCCGUAGUCUAACCGCAAGGGGGCGCGGCCGAAGGUGGGUCCGGUAAUUGGGGUGAAGUCGUAACAAGGUAAC
rnacentral:rRNA from 1 species